rnacentral:lncRNA from 1 species
CCGAUGGCUAACAUUUUGUUUCUCUGCCAAAACCAUUGUAUUUCUUAGUUGACAUUCAAGUUUUAAAAGGGUGAAAUCCUUUUAACGUUACGUAUUUUUAGAAGGCGGCGCAAAAAGAAAGCAGUGGGUCUAAUCCCCACCCCCGACCAUGAGAAAACUACCACUUCUUAAUUUUUACCAAUUUUUCUUAUGUUUUCAGUUAACUUUCUUUCUAAUGUAAAUACAAAUUUAAACCUAGAGGGGCUGGUUCUGUUUGACUGUGAGUGUUUGAUGAUGCAAAGUUGAAACGGAGCCUGGAAAGUUCAUUCUAGAUCUCACUAACUACUGGAAUCAGUGUUUUAAUCUUAGUGGAAAACUUCAGUUGCUUAAUUCU